rnacentral:rRNA from 1 species
AGAGGACAACACGACUCCAGGUCUAUGGACGAGUAGAACCCGACGCGAUGCAACGGUUGGUUACCUUGAGUAAAAUUUAGUGUUCAUAGCAAGCACCAAGUGCUUUGGAUACAACAGCAUGGGAUAACACCACAUGAACUUCGACUCGGAUAGCGUUGGAAGACGAGGACGAAGGAAAGUUUAAUAGGAGCAGUCGGGGGUAGUCGUAUUUCGAUGCUAGAGGUGAAAUUCUUUGACCAUCGAAGGACGCACGACAGCGAAAGCAUCUACCAAGAAUGUUUUCAUUGAUCAAGAACGAAAGUUGGGGUAGCAAAGACGAUUAGGCACCGUCGUAGUCCCAACCGUAAACGAUGCCGACUAGGGGUUGGUGGACGUUCUUAUCGAUAGCUCCAUCAGCACCUUAUGAGAAAUCACAAGCUUCUGGGUUCCGGGGGGAGUACGGUCGCAAGGCUGAAACUUAAAGGAAUUGGCGGAAGGGCACCACAAGGCGUGGAGCUUGCGGCUUAAUUUGACUCAACGCAGGAAAACUUACCAGGUCCGUACAUAGGGAGGAUUGACAGAUUGAUAGCUCUUUCUUGAUUCUAUGGGAGGUGGUGCAUGGCCGUUUCUAGUUCGUGAGUUGACUUGUCUGGUUAAUUCCGAUAACGAGCGAGACCCCAACCCCUGUUAAGCUAGCCGAGGUGCUGGAUUUAAUGUAUCUGGCAUCGGAGCUAAAGCGUUGCAGGGGGACGCUUGGUGGUAAACCAAGGGAAGCAUGGGGCCAUAGCAGGUCUGUGAUGCCCUUAGAUGUUCUGGGCUGCACGCGCGCUACAAUGAUGCAAUCAAUGAGGAAGCACUGGGCCGAGAGGCUAGGGAGGAUCUUAUAAUCUGCAUCGUGAUGGGGAUAGAUCAUUGUAAUUGUUGAUCUUGAACGAGGAAUGCCUAGUAAGCGCGAGUCAUCAGCUCGCGCUGAUUUCGUCCCUGCCCUUUGUACACACCGCCCGUCGCUCCUGCCAUGGGU